rfam:Oryza glumipatula chromosome 1, whole genome shotgun sequence.
AAAUAGACAAAUCCUAUGUUUCUGUGUCUAACUUUGACUGUCCGUCUUAUAUGAAAUUUUUUUAUAAUUCGUAUUUUUAUUGUUGUUAGAUGAUAAAACAUGAUUAAUAUUUUAUGCAUGACUUGUCUUUUUAAUUUUUUUCAUAAUUUUUUUAAAUAAGACGGACGGUCAAACAUUGGGCACGGAAACCAGGGUGUCAUUUUUU